GUUGAUGAUGACAAUAUAAGAGGAGUUGAUGAUGACAAUAUAAGAGAAGUUGAUGAUGACAAUAUAAGAGAAGUUGAUGAUGACAAUAUAAGAGAAGUUGAUGAUGACAAUAUAAGAGAAGUUGAUGAUGACAAUAUAAGAGAAGUUGAUGAUGACAAUAUAAGAGAAGUUGAUGAUGACAAUAUAAGAGAAGUUGAUGAUGACAAUAUAAGAGAAGUUAAUGAUGACAAUAUAAGAGAAGUUGAUGAUGACAAUAUAAGAGAAGUUGAUGAUGACAAUAUAAGAGAAGUUGAUGAUGACAAUAUAA